GCCAGGUGUGGUGGCACACGCCUGUCAUCCCAGCAGCUUGGGAGGCUGGGGCAGGAGGAUCUUGAGUACAAAGGCAGCCUCAGAAACUUAGUGAGGCCCUGAGCAACUUAGCAAAACCCUGUCUCAA
rnacentral:sRNA from 1 species